GACGAACCGAGCGAACGUUGUUCGGAAUCACUGGGCUUAAAGGGCGCGUAGGCGGGUUCUCAAGUCCGGGGUGAAAACCCACAGCUCAACUGUGGAACUGCCUCGGAUACUGGGUGCCUCGAGGGUGGUAGGGGUAUGCGGAACUAUCGGUGGAGCGGUGAAAUGCGUUGAUAUCGAUAGGAACUCCGGUGGCGAAGGCGGCAUACUGGACCACAUCUGACGCUGAGGCGCGAAAGCCAGGGGAGCGAACGGG
rnacentral:rRNA from 1 species